GUCCGAAUGGUCUAGUGGUCAUGACGAUUGUGUUAGUCAUCCCGACAAUUCUUCUAGCGUUGAACAAAUUCACUAACAAUAUACAAUAGCUUACACACAAUAAAUCGCAGGUUCGAACCCUGCUUCGGACA